rnacentral:miRNA from 1 species
GACAUACAUGUGAGUUCGGAUGUA